AAAUUGAAGAGUUUGAUCAUGGCUCAGAUUGAACGCUGGCGGCAGGCCUAACACAUGCAAGUCGAACGGUAACAGGAAGCAGCUUGCUGCUUCGCUGACGAGUGGCGGACGGGUGAGUAAUGUCUGGGAAACUGCCUGAUGGAGGGGGAUAACUACUGGAAACGGUAGCUAAUACCGCAUAACGUCGCAAGACCAAAGAGGGGGACCUUCGGGCCUCUUGCCAUCGGAUGUGCCCAGAUGGGAUUAGCUUGUUGGUGGGGUAACGGCUCACCAAGGCGACGAUCCCUAGCUGGUCUGAGAGGAUGACCAGCCACACUGGAACUGAGACACGGUCCAGACUCCUACGGGAGGCAGCAGUGGGGAAUAUUGCACAAUGGGCGCAAGCCUGAUGCAGCCAUGCCGCGUGUAUGAAGAAGGCCUUCGGGUUGUAAAGUACUUUCAGCGGGGAGGAAGGGAGUAAAGU
rnacentral:rRNA from 3 species